CUUUCUUUUUUUUUUUUAUUUUAUUUUUAUUUUUAUUUUUUUUUAUUUUUUUUUUUAUUUUUUUAUUUUUUUUUUUAAAUUGAAUAUACCCAUCGAGAACUGUCGUGUAAGUCCAUUGAUGAAUAUGAAAUGAUAAUAAAAAUGAAAAUAAUAAUAAGGCAAAAAAAAAAGGAAAAAAAAAAAGAAAAGAAAAGAAAAAGAAAUUUUUUUUUCAACUAAUGCUCGUUAUCUAGUAAACAUCGUUAUUAAUUAACUUCCAACACUUGGUAUUAUCACGAUGAUGGAGUCACGAAUACGCGCGUACUCGAAAUAAUCAAGUGCGACAGCUUUGGUUAAGCGAUCGGUCGAUAGAUGGCGACAAUCGCGCAGAAUGGCGACGAACCCAUCGUCGUCGUCGUCGUGUCAUACGAAUUCCGUUGCAAACCGAAAGAAUCGACAUAACGGUGUGCGUGUGUUUGUAAAGCAUGCGCUCGCGCGCGUGACACUUGUUGCUAAAAAAAAAAAAAAAAAAAAAAGAAAAAAAAAAGAAAGAAAGAAAAACAAAUGGGUAAAAGGAAAAACGUUCGCGGUUUCAAGACAAGAUCGUCCAAUAGUUUCUAUGUACCUCAGUCUCGCGGUAAAAUCAGACUUGGAAAAAGGAAAGGAAGAGGAAGAAGAAGAAGAAAAAAGAUGGCAGGAGGAGAGGGAGGAAGAGGAGAAGGAGGAGAGGAAGGAAGAAAGGAAGGAAGGAAGGAAGGAAGGAAGGAGGGAGGUGCACCAAGCAAGAUAGGAGGAGGCGAUUUUACGCUCGAGAUGAUGGAGAUAAGAGUCAAUUAAACUUGGCAGUGAUUGGCAAAGACCGAGAGUUAAGAUCCUGGGUAUGAAUCAUUCGUAAAGCUCGUAACGGUAUUCGUGGACUUGCUGCAGAGAUCUUCGGGAGCAUGUUUCAAAGUUUUAAUUGGCUGAAAGGAUGCUGGCAAUAUGGCGGUGAUGGUACGGAUAGGUCCAUCUAAUUAUAACAGUUCGCGUGUGUAUAUGGCUCGGUGAAAGGCGUAUUAACUACGUGACUAAAAACUCUUCAACGUGUGCGCGUUGUAAUGCUAAAUAACUUCGACGAUGACGACGACGACGACGACGACGGUGACGACGAAAACGACGAAAAUGACGACGACGAGAAGGAAAAUCAAGUGUCUCUUUGAUUCUUCAACAACUAGACGUAACGUAAACGUAAAAAUAAAAUUUGCUCGCCAAUAUGGCGACCAACAUCGUAAACAGAACGAGUCACAUUACCGAGAAACGUAAGAUAUUUAUUUGUAAGACUGUUUAAAAAAAAAAAAAAAAAAAAAAAAAAUUUCCAUAUUAUCGAUCGAACACGUUAGAAACGUGUUCUAAUUUAAAAGGAAGGGAAACAAAAUAAAAAAAAAAAAAAAACAAGAAAGAAA